CCAGGUGCCAUACAAAAACUGCUCUCCUCCUCCCCAUUUUAUCAUCACAACAAUCCUGUGAGUACCUUCAGCCACACGCUGGCUCGGUUGGAGACCGUCUCCAGAACGUGCCCUCUGGCCUUUGAGACCUUCCUCCGCAGCCCAGCAGAGUACGGACUAUAACUGCUCUUCCCACUCAUGCGACUGCUGAGCAUGGCCACGACCCAUGGACAUGGAGGAUGAGGUUCAGCCGACACAACCCCCAGCUGCGUGCCCAAGAGGUGGAGAGGCAGCUGCCUUAGACACUGCACAAAUAUUCCCAAGGCCUGCAACAAGCCGGAGUCUCCAAGUGGGAAAAGAAACUCUUCCUGCUGAGAUUGUUUUUUGACACAAUUCCAAGGCAAUAAG